UACGAAGGGACCUAGCGUAGUUCGGAAUUACUGGGCUUAAAGAGUUCGUAGGUGGUUGAAAAAGUUGGUGGUGAAAUCCCAGAGCUUAACUCUGGAACUGCCAUCAAAACUUUUCAGCUAGAGUAUGAUAGAGGAAAGCAGAAUUUCUAGUGUAGAGGUGAAAUUCGUAGAUAUUAGAAAGAAUACCAAUUGCGAAGGCAGCUUUCUGGAUCAUUACUGACACUGAGGAACGAAAGCAUGGGUAGCGAAGAGGAUUAGAUACCUUCGUAGUCCAUGCCGUAAACGAUGUGUGUUAGACGUUGGAAAUUUAUUUUCAGUGUCGCAGCGAAAGCGAUAAACACACCGCCUGGGGAGUACGACCGCAAGGUUAAAACUCAAAUGAAUUGACGGGGACCCGCACAAGUAGUGGAGCAUGUGGUUUAAUUCGAAGAUACGCGCAGAACCUUACCAACACUUGACAUGUUCGUCGCGACUCUAAGAGAUUAGAGUUUUCGGUUCGGCCGGACGAAACACAGGUGCUGCAUGGCUGUCGUCAGCUCGUGUCGUGAGAUGUUGGAUUAAGUCCCGCAACGAGCGCAACCCUCACUUUUAGUUGCCAUCAUUAAGUUGGGCACUCUGAAAGAACUGCCAGUGAUAAGCUGGAGGAAGGUGGGGAUGACGUCAAGUCCUCAUGGCCCUUACGUGUUGGGCUACACACGUGCUACAAUGGUAUCUACAACAGGAAGCAAGACUGCGAAGUUAAGCAAAUCCCUAAAAGAUACCUCAGUUCGGAUUGCACUCUGCAACUCGAGUGCAUGAAGCUGGAAUUACUAGUAAUCGUGGAUCAGCGUGCCACGGUGAAUGCGUUCCCGGGUCU
rnacentral:rRNA from 1 species